AACUAAAUCUUUUGUUCACCAGCUGCUCAGCUUUUCAGUCUGGGUCUGAGCUGAAACCUGCUGCAAGUCUGACGGUACCAAAUUACAUAUAUAUCUGUCAAAAUGAUGUAGGACCUAAAGUCUCUCUGUAAGUUGAUCCUUUUGACCCCAUGAUUAGGAGCUUCACAAUGUGGUACCACACCUGGAAACCUCCAGAACAAGAUCUCAAGGAAACACAGGAAAUUCCUGAAACAGCAAAACCCCCUAUGUGAAGACGUCUGUUAUUCCUUUGUGUAUCAGGAGCAUCACUGUUAAUUAACUGUUGAUACACUUAAAACAGCUUGGUUGGCAAUGUCCUUUUUGAAUAAAGAAGAGCCAGGUGUGUUUUUCAGGAUGAACUAGACAAUGCUGUCACAAGUUUACCUCUACAUCUUAUUGCCUUGGAAAAAUUUCCUGCAUAUCGUGGCACAAGAUGGUUGGCUCUCCAGGCAGCAGUUGGCGUUGUGAAUCAGUCAUCUCAGCAUGUGUCUCCAAGAUCCCACAGCAGGGGGAAAAAGAGGUGGAGGGUCACAUGCCUGGUGUUACAUACUUUGAGGCAGAGGUGGUAGGUGCCAUUUCUGCUCACAGCUCAUGGACCAGAACAAAGCCAUGCAUACCUGAGAGAGGACCAGAAAAUAUUCUGAAGCAGAUGGCUAUUUGGUGAGCAGUAAAUGUUUCUUCCGUGUUCUGACUAAAAGGAAGCCACACUCUGUCGAAAACAAGCUUUGUAAGAAAAUUUUGAAGUAUUUACUUAUAUCUAACCAUUCAUUCCACCUUUUCUCCCAAAUAACACUCUAAUAUCUUGAGACAUCUUGUCUAGGGCCAGAUUUCAUAAAUGCUUGUGAGGCAGGAGAAUAAGUUCCAGAGGCAGUUCACACUGCCUAAAGCCAAUUCACACUGACUUCCUAUAACUAAAUCUAAAGGAAAAUCUCAACUUUCCUCGCCCAAGUAACAAAAGAAUCAGAGGUUAUACUCCCUUUGCAACCUGCCCCUUUUCUGCCUGGCAGAUGAAAAAUGAAAAGUACCUAUGACUGGUCCCCUCCCACGACCAGCCAGACUGGUCACGGAUCACUACUUCAUUUACAUAGGGCGUAAACCGAGUAACCAAUGGGAAACCUCUAGAGGGUAUUUAAACCCCAGAAAAUUCUGUAACCGGUGGUCUCCAGCAGGUUGCUCAAUCUUGCUGCCACUCUGUGGGAUGUACUUUUGUUUCAAUAAAUCUGUGC
rnacentral:lncRNA from 10 species